rnacentral:rRNA from 1 species
UACGUAGGGGGCUAGCGUUGUCCGGAAUCAUUGGGCGUAAAGCGCGUGUAGGCGGCCCGGUAAGUCCGCUGUGAAAGUCGGGGGCUCAACCCUCGGAUGCCGGUGGAUACUGUCGGGCUCGAGUACGGAAGAGGAAAGUGGAAUUCCUGGUGUAGCGGUGAAAUGCGCAGAUAUCAGGAGGAACACCAAUGGCGAAGGCAGCUCGCUGGGACGUGACUGAUGCUGAGACGCGAAAGCGUGGGGAGCAAACAGG